rnacentral:rRNA from 1 species
AUUGAACGCUGGCGGCAUGCUUUACACAUGCAAGUCGGACGGCAGCGGUUGCUUGCAUACUGCCGGCGAGUGGCGAACGGGUGAGUAACAUAUCGGAACGUACCGAGCAGUGGGGGAUAACUAAUCGAAAGAUUAGCUAAUACCGCAUAUAUUCUGAGGAAGAAAGCAGGGGACCAUUUGGCCUUGCGCUGUUUGAGCGGCCGAUAUCUGAUUAGCUGGUUGGUGGGGUAAAGGCCUACCAAGGCGACGAUCAGUAGCGGGUCUGAGAGGAUGAUCCGCCACACUGGGACUGAGACACGGCCCAGACUCCUACGGGAGGCAGCAGUGGGGAAUUUUGGACAAUGGGCGCAAGCCUGAUCCAGCCAUGCCGCGUGUCUGAAGAAGGCCUUCGGGUUGUAAAGGACUUUUGUCAGGGAAGAAAAGGGCGGGGCUAAUACCCCUGUCUGAUGACGGUACCUGAAGAAUAAGCACCGCUAA